rnacentral:rRNA from 1 species
CAAUAGCGUAUAUUAAAGUUGUUGCGGUUAAAAGCUCGUAGUUGGAUUUUUGUAAAGAAGCAGGAGUCCGUCUUCGGAUGUGUACUCAUUGUUUUCUUUGCAUUAGGGUCUUGUGUUCUUUAUUGAGCGCGGACCCGGUUACUGUGAGGAAAUUAGAGUGUUUCAAGCAGGUAUUUGCCUUGAAUACAUUGCAUGGAAUAACAAAACAGGCUUUGACACUGCUUUGUUGGUUACGGAGUUAAAGACGUGAUUAAUAGGGAUAGUUGGGGGCAUUCGUAUUUGGCUGUCAGAGGUGAAAUUCUUGGAUUUGUCAAAGACGAACUACUGCGAAAGCAUUUGCCAAGGAUGUUUUCAUUAAUCAAGAACGAAAGUUAGGGGAUCGAAGACGAUCAGAUACCGU